rnacentral:rRNA from 1 species
AUUGAACGCUGGCGGCAGGCCUAACACAUGCAAGUCGAGCGAGCGGCGGACGGGUGAGUAAUGUCUGGGGAUCUGCCUGAUAGAGGGGGAUAACUACUGGAAACGGUGGCUAAUACCGCAUACUAUCGGAUGAACCCAGAUGGGAUUAGGUAGUAGGUGGGUUAAAGGCUAACCUAGGCGACGAUCUCUAGCUGGUCUGAGAGGAUGAUCAGCCCCACUGGAACUGAGACACGGCCCAGACUCCUACGGGAGGCAGCAUUGGGGAAUAUUGCACAAUGGGCGCAAGCCUGAUGCAGCCAUGCCGCGUGUAUGAAUACGGCCUUAGGGUUGUAAAGUACUUUCAGCGGGGAGGCGUUACCCGCAGAAGAAGCACCGGCUAACUCCGUGCCAGCAGCCGCGGUAAUUC